AAACUGAAGAGUUUGAUCAUGGCUCAGAUUGAACGCUGGCGGCAGGCUUAACACAUGCAAGUCGAGCGGAAACGAUGAUAGCUUGCUAUCAGGCGUCGAGCGGCGGACGGGUGAGUAAUACUUAGGAAUCUACCUAGUAGUGGGGGAUAGCACGGGGAAACUCGUAUUAAUACCGCAUACGACCUACGGGAGAAAGGGGGCAGUUUACUGCUCUCGCUAUUAGAUGAGCCUAAGUCGGAUUAGCUAGAUGGUGGGGUAAAGGCCUACCAUGGCGACGAUCUGUAGCUGGUCUGAGAGGAUGAUCAGCCACACCGGGACUGAGACACGGCCCGGACUCCUACGGGAGGCAGCAGUGGGGAAUAUUGGACAAUGGGGGAAACCCUGAUCCAGCCAUGCCGCGUGUGUGAAGAAGGCCUUUUGGUUGUAAAGCACUUUAAGCAGUGAAGAAGACUCCGUGGUUAAUACCCACGGACGAUGACAUUAGCUGCAGAAUAAGCACCGGCUAACUCUGUGCCAGCAGCCGCGGUAAUACAGAGGGUGCAAGCGUUAAUCGGAAUUACUGGGCGUAAAGGGAGCGUAGGUGGCUCGAUAAGUCAGAUGUGAAAUCCCCGGGCUCAACCUGGGAACUGCAUCUGAUACUGUUGAGCUAGAGUAUGUGAGAGGAAGGUAGAAUUCCAGGUGUAGCGGUGAAAUGCGUAGAGAUCUGGAGGAAUACCGAUGGCGAAGGCAGCCUUCUGGCAUAAUACUGACACUGAGGCUCGAAAGCGUGGGUAGCAAACAGGAUUAGAUACCCUGGUAGUCCACGCCGUAAACGAUGUCUACUAGUCGUUGGGUCCCUUGAGGACUUAGUGACGCAGCUAACGCAAUAAGUAGACCGCCUGGGGAGUACGGCCGCAAGGUUAAAACUCAAAUGAAUUGACGGGGGCCCGCACAAGCGGUGGAGCAUGUGGUUUAAUUCGAUGCAACGCGAAGAACCUUACCUGGUCUUGACAUAUCUAGAAUCCUGCAGAGAUGCGGGAGUGCCUUCGGGAAUUAGAAUACAGGUGCUGCAUGGCUGUCGUCAGCUCGUGUCGUGAGAUGUUGGGUUAAGUCCCGCAACGAGCGCAACCCUUGUCCUUAGUUACCAGCGGGUUAAGCCGGGAACUCUAAGGAUACUGCCAGUGACAAACUGGAGGAAGGCGGGGACGACGUCAAGUCAUCAUGGCCCUUACGACCAGGGCUACACACGUGCUACAAUGGUAGGUACAGAGGGCAGCUACACAGCGAUGUGAUGCGAAUCUCAAAAAGCCUAUCGUAGUCCAGAUUGGAGUCUGCAACUCGACUCCAUGAAGUAGGAAUCGCUAGUAAUCGCGGAUCAGAAUGCCGCGGUGAAUACGUUCCCGGGCCUUGUACACACCGCCCGUCACACCAUGGGAGUUGAUUGCACCAGAAGUGGAUAGCUUAACCUUCGGGGAGGCGUUCACCACGGUGUGGUUGAUGACUGGGGUGAAGUCGUAACAAGGUAGCCGUAGGGGAACCUGCGGCUGGAUCACCUCCUUA
rnacentral:rRNA from 1 species